UACGGAGGGUGCGAGCGUUGUCCGGAAUCACUGGGCGUAAAGGGCGCGUAGGUGGCCGAGCAAGGUCGCGGUGAAAGCCCGGGGCUCAACCCCGGGUCGGCCGUGGCAACUACUGGGCUGGAGCACUGUAGGGGCGGGUGGAAUUCCGGGUGUAGCGGUGGAAUGCGUAGAGAUCGGCAGGAACACCCAGGGGGAAACCAGUCGACUGGGCAUCUACUGACGCUGAGGUGCGAGAGCGUGGGGAGCGAACCGG
rnacentral:rRNA from 1 species